UACGUAGGGGGCAAGCGUUGUCCGGAAUCAUUGGGCGUAAAGCGCGUGUAGGCGGUUCGAUAAGUCUGCUGUGAAAGUCCAGGGCUCAACCCUGGAAAGCCGGUGGAUACUGUCAGACUAGAGUGCGGAAGAGGCGAGUGGAAUUCCCGGUGUAGCGGUGAAAUGCGCAGAUAUCGGGAGGAACACCAAUUGCGAAGGCAGCUCGCUGGGACGUUACUGACGCUGAGACACGAAAGCCAGGGGAGCGAACGGG
rnacentral:rRNA from 1 species